GCUUCCGUAGCGCAAGUGGCUACGUGUAUUGUAACGAUACAGAGAAGAUUAGCAUGGCCCCUGCGCAAGGAUGACACGCAAAAUCGUGAAGCUUUCCACAUUUUU
rnacentral:snRNA from 1 species